GCUUGCUCCUUUGACGUUAGCGGCGGACGGGUGAGUAACACGUGGGUAACCUACCUAUAAGACUGGGAUAACUUCGGGAAACCGGAGCUAAUACCGGAUAAUAUUUCGAACCGCAUGGUUCGAUAGUGAAAGAUGGCUCUGCUAUCACUUAUAGAUGGACCUGCGCCGUAUUAGCUAGUUGGUAAGGUAACGGCUUACCAAGGCAACGAUACGUAGCCGACCUGAGAGGGUGAUCGGCCACACUGGAACUGAGACACGGUCCAGACUCCUACGGGAGGCAGCAGUAGGGAAUCUUCCGCAAUGGGCGAAAGCCUGACGGAGCAACGCCGCGUGAGUGAUGAAGGUCUUCGGAUCGUAAAACUCUGUUAUUAGGGAAGAACAAACGUGUAAGUAACUGUGCACGUCUUGACGGUACCUAAUCAGAAAGCCACGGCUAACUACGUGCCAGCAGCCGCGGUAAUACGUAGGUGGCAAGCGUUAUCCGGAAUUAUUGGGCGUAAAGCGCGCGUAGGCGGUUUUUUAAGUCUGAUGUGAAAGCCCACGGCUCAACCGUGGAGGGUCAUUGGAAACUGGAAAACUUGAGUGCAGAAGAGGAAAGUGGAAUUCCAUGUGUAGCGGUGAAAUGCGCAGAGAUAUGGAGGAACACCAGUGGCGAAGGCGACUUUCUGGUCUGUAACUGACGCUGAUGUGCGAAAGCGUGGGGAUCAAACAGGAUUAGAUACCCUGGUAGUCCACGCCGUAAACGAUGAGUGUAAGUGGGUUAGGGGGUUUCCGCCCCUUAGUGCUGCAGCUAACGCAUUAAGCACUCCGCCUGGGGGAGUACGACCCGCAAGGUUGAAACUCAAAGGAAAUUGACGGGGACCCGCACAAGCGGUGGAAGCAUGGGGUUUAAUUCGAAGCAACGCGAAGAACCUUACCAAAUCUUGACAUCCUUUG
rnacentral:rRNA from 1 species